GUGAGCACAGAAUCAGAACAGGUAGCUCAGAUUAAGAAUAGUCAAGAAAGUCUUCUGAGAGGAGAUAGAUGAGUGAUACAUUACAAAAUAAAUUCAGAAGUAAUUUCUCAAUAAGUUGGAAGGAUGGCAAGAAGAUAGGGUUAGGAUAGGGUAGAAGGAAUUCUAGCAAGAAGAGAAUGAACAAAAAAAGAGAACAAUGAACAAUAUAUAUCUACUGAUGCUGGAUUUUCCUGUAGACUAGCUGUUGACGUUACAAAAAUAAAUAAGAAAUACUACUUCCUAAAUUAUUUACAGUCAAAUGGUGAGGAAAGAUAAGCAAUGAAGGGCGGCAAUACUGUGCUACAAUACUAUGCUAUUUGGUACUUCGAGAGGUGAGAUUUUCUAUUGGAAAGGGGAGAGCAGGGGCUGGAUUGUGUGACAGCAUGAGGAGAGUGAUUCAUAUUUGGACAGUCAUUGAGGGGCAUAAGAAAGCAGUUACCAAGGACACAUUAAAUAAUUGCCCAGCAACUUGGACUCCUUUCUGGCACUAAAUUAUCACCCAGCUAUGUAACAGAAUAACACCAUUUUAUCCAAAGGCACUUAAUAUCCAUUUUGAAGGAACCAACAUUUUUGGCUUCUUUAAGUGGUUGCUAAGUGCCUCUGGUUGGUUCAGUGGAUGUGGCAGAAGUUCAGAAGUUCCCUUGAGAUUGAGGAGGCUGGUGAAGGAGUAAAGCAGGUAGUUAAUACGGCAUUGAGGACCAUGAUGUAAAUGAAGAUACAGAGUAUGAUACAUCAACGAAGAAAAGUGGAGGCAUUAAAGUCAGGCCCUUCUGCUGUAGGACUGCUGGAGGUCCACUCCAGACCCUGCUUGCCUGGGAAUCACCUGUGGUGCCUGCAAAACAGUAAGGGUUUCUGCCAGUUUCUUCUUCUGUUAUCUUUGUCCCAGAAGGAUACCUGCCAGAUAUCAGCCUGAGCUCUCCUUUAAGAAGUGUCCCUUUGGAUAUAUGCGGGUUGGGGAGUUGCUUGAGGAUACAGUUUGUUUCUUAUAGGAGAUCAAAUGCUGAGCUGUGAGCCCUGUGUUCCCUUCAGAGCUGCUGGGCAGGUAUGUUUAAGUCUGCUGCAGCAGAACUCAUAACCACCUUUUUUCCCAGGUGCUCUGUCCUG
rnacentral:lncRNA from 13 species